AGCGAGCGCUGGCGGCAGGCUUAACACAUGCAAGUCGAGCGGGCAUAGCAAUAUGUCAGCGGCAGACGGGUGAGUAACGCGUGGGAACGUACCUUUUGGUUCGGAACAACACAGGGAAACUUGUGCUAAUACCGGAUAAGCCCUUACGGGGAAAGAUUUAUCGCCGAAAGAUCGGCCCGCGUCUGAUUAGCUAGUUGGUGAGGUAAUGGCUCACCAAGGCGACGAUCAGUAGCUGGUCUGAGAGGAUGAUCAGCCACAUUGGGACGGAGACACGGCCCAAACUCCUACGGGAGGCAGCAGUGGGGAAUAGUGGACAAUGGGCGCAAGCCUGAUCCAGCCAUGCCGCGUGAGUGAUGAAGGCCCUAGGGUUGUAAAGCUCUUUUGUGCGGGAAGAUAAUGACGGUACCGCAAGAAUAAGCCCCGGCUAACUUCGUGCCAGCCGCCGCGGUAAUAC
rnacentral:rRNA from 1 species